rnacentral:tRNA from 1 species
GGAUUUUGGCUCAGGGGUAGAGCACUCACCUCGCAUGUGCAAGACCCUGGGUUCAAUCCUCAGCACCA